CUCUAGGGAUGCACCCCCUCAGGUGGACCACAUGUUUUCUGCAACGUCUGCUCCAUGCUUAGCUUUCGGUCUUCCCUUCUAGAGGGAAACAACAAUAAAUCAUGCAGAAAUCUUUUUGAUAUCACAUGCACGAGAGCACACAUAACACCAAUGAAGAUACCGACUAAAAGGGACCUCACAGCUAGAUUCUCAAUGAACUCCUCCAAGAUACAGAUGCUAAAGCAAAACCAAAAGUAACUGCUAUGCCUCUGAUUACAACAAUAUCAACCUACAUCAAUAGAAGAGCUAAGUUUCAAAAUGUUCCCUCUUGAUACAUGACCGCUGCAGAUAUUUCUAUGAAACAACUGGGAAAUUGAAUAAACCAGAAAACACAAAUUGGAGAGUGUUUGUUCUGCUGUUUAUUUCUUUUCCAUUUUAUGUUUGUGUGUGUGUGUGUGUGUGUUCUACUUUUCUU